rnacentral:lncRNA from 1 species
UUAGUAAGUUAUUAUCUUCAGAGGAAUGCCUGACAUAUCAGUUAUCAAUCAAGCAAAAAUAUCGAUGUUUGCUCUCAGUAGAUUUAUUAGUUGCUGCCUCUCUGGAUUAGACAGCUGCAAUCCAAUUUGGACUUUUUUUUAGGAUCUUCUUCUUUCAGUGGGAUGGAAAUCAGUUGUUCGGUCGGUUCAUCUCUUUCUUUAUUUUCUCUCUGGUCCAAUUUAUCGAAGGAUAAAAAGUCUUCAGAUUGAUUAUUCUGUGUCG